CACUGACCGUGUAAAUGUAGCGUAAUCAAAAACCAAUUAAUUGUUGGCUGGUCUGAAUGGCGUCACGAAGGCCCCCCUGUCUUAAGAGAACUCUCCAUGAAAUUGAAUUCGUAGUGAAGAUGCUACGUCCAUAUUGUAAGACGAAAAGACCCCAUUGAGCUUUACCAGAGACUUGUAAAGCUCUCAAAAAUUAGAAAAUGUGGGACGCCACUCUUUUAUUUUAAGAGAGCUAACGGGAUAAUGCAAGUUGGAUAGUUUGGUUGGGAGGGCCGCCUUUUAAAAGGUAACGAAGGUGGGCUUAAGGUCCGUUAGUUAAUAACCGGUGGCCUGACUGCAAGGGGGACACCCCGAGCAGACACUUUUCCAGUGGGUUAUAGCGACCCGUCAUCUUAGGGUAAAAUAGUUGACGAUCAACGAAUAAAUGCUA
rnacentral:rRNA from 1 species